AGGGGCAGAGCCACCUCCUUUGAGUAGAAGACCCAGGAACACAGAUAGAACCGUCUUGUAUAGUGUUUGAAAAUACGCGAGUGUCAUCGAUUUUUACAUACAACUCACGUCACAAAUACAAGAAAUGCGUGUUGAGCACCUUGAUUAUUCCACCUGCAGAAAAAGAAAAAAGAAAAAAUAUUCAAAGCCUCAGCAAGUCCAAUUAAGGUUGAACUCUUCGACAAGAGUGGUGUUGUGCCUGUACCAAACAGCUAAGUGGCUAUGGAACUCGGCUUCUGCUUGGGGUUUUAGGAAGUUAGUCCCAAAGCUACCUAAAUGAACUGGGCCAAAACAAAAUGAGUAAGACACUGAAGAGUGGUUUUCGGGUGUGGCUUCAAAACAAAUAUCUCUGUUAAAUAUGUCAAACAUGAUUACAAGGCUACAUGAAGCCACAGGGUGUGGGCUUUCAUUCUGGAGAGGUAGAGAUAAUCUUUAUGAAGAUUUCAAAUUGUGCUACAGAGCAGCUUAAAGGGCACCUGUUCAGAGAGCCCUAUUCUCAUACCCAAAUGUAAAUCUGAAGGUCAUUCUGUUUCUCCUAUAAUUUAGACAUUUUUCUGUAUAUUUUACUGUGGUCUUAGAUUUGAAUUAUGCUUUUUUUUUAAUUUUUCAAAAGAGUGGGCUGGUGAGAUGGCUCAGUGGUUAAGAGCACUGACUGCUCUUCUAGAGGUCCUGAGUUCAAAUCCCAGUAGCCACAUGGUGGCUCACAACCAUCUGUAAUGAAAUCUGAUGCCCUCUUCUGGUGUGCCUGAAGACAGCUACAGUGUACUUAUGUAUAAUAAAUAAAUAAAUCUUUAAAAAAAAAGUAACUUCUGUAUGUAGCCUUUGCUGUCCUGGAAGUCACUCUGUAGACCAGGCUGGCCUCAAAACUGACAAGAAUCUGCCUGUAUCUGUCUCCUGAGUGCGGGUGUGAAAGGCAUGCACCACCAUAGCACAGCUGUAAUUUAGACUUUUUAAUGGUGUUCAUCUGUUGUACAAAGUAAGGUGUUUCAUUAUGACAUUUUCUUUUUCUUUUUUUCUUCUCUCGUUUCUUUUUGUUUGGUUGGUUGGCUGGUUAGCAGUUUUUGUUUGUUUGUUUGUUUGUUUGUUUGUUUCUGUGUAGACGGGGCUGGCCCGGAACUCAAGAGAUCUGCCUGCUUCAGCCUCCUGAGUACUUGAGAACUGGGAUUAAAGGCAUGUACCUCCAUCACCCAGCUACGUUAUGGCAUUUGCAUAAGAGCAUAUCUCGUGCUCUGAAAUAAUAUUACUCCCCUUCCCCUUUUUCUUUUUAUAUCACUAGUUUGAAUUUCCUACAGAAUGCUCACCAUUUGGUUACCGUGUCACCAAUUCUGCCCAAACUCUGUAAAGCCUUGUGUACACCUGACUCAGGGACUCCUUUAACAGCAGGUUGUAAUGGUGAGAACCCCUGAGAUUGCGUUGUUGGUGCCAUGGUCAGGUGAAGCUCAAUGGCAGACUCAGGGGCAGAAGUCCAGUUAUCAACUAAGGCUUCUCAUGCCAGGUGGCAUGUCGCAGACUUUUAAUCCCAGCAUUUACCAGUCAGAGGAAGGUGGCAGAUCUGAGUUUGAGGCCAGCCUGGGCUACAGAGCGAGUUUCAGGACAUCCAGGACUACACAGAGAAACCCCGUCUUGAAAAACAAAAUUAAAAAAAAAAAAAAGAU